UACGUAGGGUGCAAGCGUUGUCCGGAAUUAUUGGGCGUAAAGAGCUCGUAGGCGGUUUGUCGCGUCUGCUGUGAAAACCCGAGGCUCAACCUCGGGCCUGCAGUGGGUACGGGCAGACUAGAGUGCGGUAGGGGAGAUUGGAAUUCCUGGUGUAGCGGUGGAAUGCGCAGAUAUCAGGAGGAACACCGGUGGCGAAGGCGGUUCUCUGGGCAUGUCCUGACGCUGAGGAGCGAAAGUGUGGGGAGCGAACAGG
rnacentral:rRNA from 1 species